rnacentral:lncRNA from 10 species
UCUGCCCUGUGAGGAUGCAGCAAGAAAACCCUCACCAGAUGCCAGUGCCUUGAUCUUGGACUUCCCAGCCCCCAGAGCUGACUAGAUCGCUAGCUGGCCCUUUGAUUUAACUCUUCAUCUACCAUAAUCUUUGAUGCUAAAAGCAGAAUGGACUGAGAGAUGCCUUGGACAUAAGUGAUUUCACAUCUGUAACUAUAUCCUGCAAACAUUUGUAGACACAUCUUGGGAAAGAAGCACUCAUGCUUGCAUCUGUUUCCAACAUCUGUGCAUUUAAGUCAGCAACAAAAGUCACCAGGCAUUUGAGCUUUCCCUGCUAUAAUGUUUCUGAUUUACCUUGACAGCCACCCUGCAGCAAAAAAAAAUGUUUGUGAAGCUAAGAGCUGUCCAGAUAAGAGAAAAGGUCAUGAUCUCCCUCCUGCGUGUUCAUCAGCCAACGAACAACAAUCUGAAACUCAAGAUUCCUGGCAUCUCCUUUGGUGACUACCACCCCUCACUCCACACACAAACACACAUGUGCAGAGAACAAAUAUAC